GAUCAGAAUGCCACGGUGAAUACGUUCCCGGGCCUUGUACACACCGCCCGUCACACCAUGGGAGUGGGCUGCACCAGAAGUAGAUAGCUUAACCUUCGGGAGGGCGUUUACCACGGUGUGGUUCAUGACUGGGGUGAAGUCGUAACAAGGUAGCCCUAGGGGAACCUGGGGCUGGAUCACCUCCUUACUGA
rnacentral:rRNA from 2 species